CAUAGAAUGCGGAAAUUUCCCCCUCCCCAAUUAUGCGUAUGCCCUCCCCAAUUCUAGGUAGAAUGCGGAAAUUUCCUCCUCCCCAAUUAUGCGUAUGCCCUCCCCAAUUCUAGGUAGAAUGCGGAAAUUUCCUCUCUCUCUCUCUCUGCGGAAAUUGAUGCGGAACAAAUCUCCAACCCUUUUUUUAAAAAAAAUUGAUGCGCCCCACCCCAAUUCUCUCUCUGCGGAAAUUCUCUCUCUCUCUGCGGAACAAAUCUCUCUCUCUCUGCGGAAAUUCUCCCUCUCCUUCUCUCGACCGAAGCUUUAUUUAUUUUCACCGUAAAUUGGCCGCCGGCGCCGGAGAAGAUGGACCAACCGAAUGAGGGUCAUCCUGUUUUUUUGAGAGAGGACACAAUUAAUUCAACGUGGGACGUUGGCACAUAUUAUAAAAUAAAGUAUCUUAGCAAGGUAGAAUCUGUUUUGAAGAAAAAAGGUGGUCAACAGUUAUUAGAUAGAUUUAUAGGGGGUUGUUUUGGACAUUUUUUGGAUUGGAAUCCUGGUCCGAAAUGUGCAAUGGCCGUGCAUCAUGUGGUAUCCCGCCAAAUAAAAUCAGAUAAUAAUGAUCUCUGUUUUAAAUUGAAUAAUACUAAGGUUUAUUUA